rnacentral:rRNA from 1 species
CACGUAGGGCGCGAGCGUUGUUCGGAAUUAUUGGGCGUAAAGAGCUCGUAGGCGGCCUGUUGCGUCCGCUGUGAAAGCCCGGGGCUUAACCCCGGGUCUGCAGUGGAUACGGGCAGGCUAGAGGUAGGUAGGGGAGAAUGGAAUUCCCGGUGUAGCGGUGAAAUGCGCAGAUAUCGGGAGGAACACCGGUGGCGAAGGCGGUUCUCUGGGCCUUACCUGACGCUGAGGAGCGAAAGCGUGGGGAGCGAACAGG